UUGUGGUUGAUGUUUGCAUAAAGGCAC
rnacentral:piRNA from 1 species